rnacentral:rRNA from 1 species
UAUCUCUGUAGAGUCUGCAUAUCAAUAAGCGGAGGAAAAGAAACUAACAAGGAUUCCCUUAGUAACGGCGAGUGAAGCGGGAAGAGCUCAAAUUUGAAAUCUUCAAGGUUCUACCUUGACGAAUUGUAGUUUAAAGAAGUGUUUUCUGUUAGAUGAGUAGUAAAAGUUCCUUGGAAUAGGACAUCAUAGAGGGUGAGAAUCCCGUAUUUGACUAUUCAUUCUAGCUUUGUGAUACACUUUCAAAGAGUCGGAUUGUUUGGGAAUGCAGUCCAAAAUGGGUGGUAAAUUUCAUCUAAAGCUAGAUAUUGGCGAGAGACCGAUAGCGAACAAGUACCGUGAGGGAAAGAUGAAAAGAACUUUGAAAAGAGAGUUAAACAGUACGUGUAAUUGUCAAAAGGGAAGCGUUUGACACCAGUGUUGUUUUUCCGAAGAUCAAUUACGAAUGGCUUGAUUUUGUGUUGUAUUGACCUUAUCAGCUUUCUUCACUUUUUUCGAGUCUUUCUUAAUGCACUUUUCGGUUAACAAGUCAACAUCAAUUUCUUUUGUUGUAAAAGAGUAUUCGGAAGGUGGCUUUCUUUUCGGAGAAAGUGUUUAUAGCCCUAUACUUCUACAAUCGGAGAGAUUGAGGUCUGCAGCGUAGAUCCUUCGGGGUUAGAUACACUUGUGCUAAGUUGUAGCUUUUCAUAGACAACUUGUUGACUAUGUUUAGUCAUGCGGCUUACUCGCUUGUGCUAUUUUACCUACGCUUAGGAUGUUGACUGAUAUGUAGUCGUA